rnacentral:rRNA from 1 species
UACAGAGGGCGCAAGCGUUAAUCGGAAUUACUGGGCGUAAAGCGUGCGUAGGCGGUUAUGUAAGUCAGAUGUGAAAGCCCCGGGCUCAACCUGGGAAUUGCAUUUGAGACUGCAUAGCUAGGGUGCGGAAGAGGGAAGCGGAAUUUCCGGUGUAGCAGUGAAAUGCGUAGAUAUCGGAAGGAACACCAGUGGCGAAAGCGGCUUCCUGGUCCAGCACCGACGUUCAGGCACGAAAGCGUGGGGAGCAAACAGG